UUAUGCAACUCCUUCCGUCGGUACGAGCAGAAAUAAAUCGAUGGGGGCUCGACCAGCCUACGAUGAAGACCUCGCUCCACUCUUCAUCUUGAGGAGCUGCAGAUCUGAGACCUCGGAGAUUAACGGACCGAAUCCCUCGAACUUAACCUGGAGAUUUCAAGUGAAGAGGAACAGUAAGCAAUUCGUUCGCCUCUACUUUUUCAAUUGCGUCGGCAGCUCACCUGAAGAAUUCAAUAUCUACAUCAACGAUUUCAAGGAGCCUAGGGAUGACGUCUUCACGGACCCGCAGCGCCAAGAAUAUGUGGUGGAUUCCGGUGGCUCCGAAUACGUGAACAUCAGCAUCAGCCCUCAAAAGGCUGAAGAUAUGAAAAAAAGCGCUUAUCUGAGUGCUCUGGAAAUAAUGGAGUUUCUACCAAACACGACAGUAAACGACUCGGAUAUUCACGACGAAAACCUUACUUAUUUCCCUCGGAAUCUCGUGAUUGGGCUUUCCGUUGCUGGGGGAUUGGUAAUCGCUCUGAUUUUGUCGAUCGUGUUUGUGCUGAGGUUCCGGCGGAGGAGGAAGAAGAAGAAGAAUUCGUCUGAUUCUAAAUCGAAAUCGAAA
rnacentral:lncRNA from 1 species